rnacentral:rRNA from 1 species
GGGGGGGGGGGGGGGGGGGGGGGGGGGGGGGGGGGGGGGGGGGCGGGCGGGGGGCGGGCGCCGCGGGCGGGAGCGGCGGGCGGGGGAGGAACACGUGGAUAACCUACCUAUAAGACUGGGAUAACUUCGGGGAACCGGAGCUAAUACCGGAUAAUAUAUUGAACCGCAUGGUUCCAUAGUGGAAGACGGUUUUGCUGUCACUUAUAGAUGGAUCCGCGCCGCAUUAGCUAGUUGGUAAGGUAACGGCUUACCAAGGCAACGAUGCGUAGCCGACCUGAGAGGGUGAUCGGCCACACUGGAACUGAGACACGGUCCAGACUCCUACGGGAGGCAGCAGUAGGGAAUCUUCCGCAAUGGGCGAAAGCUUGACGGAGCAACGCCGCGUGAGUGAUGAAGGUCUUCGGAUCGUAAAACUCUGUUAUUAGGGAAGAACAAAUGUGUAAGUAACUAUGCACGUCUUGACGGUACCUAAUCAGAAAGCCACGGCUAACUACGUG